UGGCACUGAACCAAUUUUCAGACAUGAGCUUUGCUGAAAUAAAACACAAGUAUCUUUGGUCAGAGCCUCAGAAUUGCUCAGCCACCAAAAGUAACUACCUUCGAGGUACUGGUCCCUACCCACCUUCCGUGGACUGGCGGAAAAAAGGAAAUUUUGUCUCACCUGUGAAAAAUCAGGGUGCCUGCGGCAGUUGCUGGACUUUCUCCACCACAGGGGCCCUGGAGUCUGCGAUCGCCAUUGCAACUGGGAAGAUGCUGUCCUUGGCCGAACAGCAGCUGGUGGACUGCGCCCAGGACUUCAAUAAUCAUGGCUGCCAAGGGGGUCUCCCCAGCCAGGCUUUCGAGUACAUCCUGUACAACAAGGGGAUCAUGGGUGAAGACACCUACCCCUACCAGGGCAAGGAUGGUUAUUGCAAGUUCCGACCUGGAGAGGCCAUCGGCUUUGUCAAGGAUGUAGCCAACAUCACAAUCGUGAGUGCCGAUCCCCCUCUGGGAUGGGGAAUGUGUCCUGAUGAGGAGGCCUCUAUCACGCUGUUGGACAGCCAACGGGCCCAGCAAGGCAGCCCUUCUGGCAG
rnacentral:sRNA from 1 species